AUGGUAUUGCAGCUUCCCACUGGGGUUGACAGAGCUGGUGCUCAGGUAAUCAACAUUUUGCUGAGCCUACGAGGAAGCAUUUGGGACAACUUCACAAUGCAUAUUAUUUGGAGUUCGUUCCUUAGACUUAAUACUCAAGGAAGGUUUGAUGGAAGGCUUUCUGUAGACAACUCAAUUGGCUCUGACACACCAACAAAGCCUCUCUGGAGCCAAGAUAAACCCAAGGCUCAUUUCUGCAUUUAUUUAUUAAUACAGCAAAUGUGGUUAUUUUUUGGAGAUUAUUAGAAAAUCUACAUAAUAGAAGUGAACUUGCACCCUGAUAUUAGUUCUGUGUUCAUUGUCUUUUCUUUUAUUUCUCAAUAAGAGCUUAGAAAACAACGGGAUAGAAAUGUGAAUUCACUCUUACUGAGAUAUCGGUUUUCAUGUCAAAGGAAAAGAAUAAGCAAAUGAAACCCUAUGAUUCUGUAAUACUGACUUUCUAUUCAACUGACACGUAAAUCGGAAAAUGGGAAAUGAAAGAGAUCAUGUCUAGCUUAGCAAGGCAUCUAUUGAAGGCCCACUGUGAAACAUAUCUUGCUCUGGGCAUUUCUAAAUGGGUACUACAAGAAAUAUAAAUAUUGGAGAGAUUGCUGGUAUCUAGGUUUCCUUCUAUAUAGAAUUUCUACCCAUUUGAUGUAGAUGUAGAGAAGGUAAUGUAGAUUUUCUCAGUUUGUUAACAUAAAGUUAUAUAAACAAAUACUCGAACUUCCCAUAGCACAGAGUGAAGAACUCAACAUUUACUCGUUUCUUACUAUUUUUUAGGCACUGUGAGCGUUCUGGGUAUGAAAUUAGAAAGAUAUGAGCAUCCUUUGUAAGGAAUACAGUUUCUAGCUAUGCUCUAAGAUUAAAUCUGACUAGAUCAAUAGGACUCUAGCUCUUGUAUUUUCUUGAGUUUUAGAGACAAGGGCUACCAAAUUCUGAUGGUUAAUUUUGUAUGUCAAAUUCAUUGGGAGAUGGGAUGCCCAGAUAUUUGGUUAAACAUUAUUCUGAGAAUAUCUGUGAGGCUGUUUUUGGAUGAGAUUAACACAUGAAUUGGUAGAAUAAGUAAAGCAGAUUAUCUUCCAUAAUGUGAGUGGCAUCGUUCUAUCCAUUGGAGGCCAAAAUAGAACAAAAUGUGGGGUAAGGGAGAACUUACUCUCUCUGCCUGCUUUUGAGUUGGGACAUCAUUCUCCUGCACUCAACAUGGAGCUACACUGCCGGCUCCCUGGACUUCCAACUUGCAGACAACAGAGCAUGAGUCUUCUCAGUCUCCGCAAUCAUUGGAGUCAAUUCCUUAUAAAUAUUUUAAUACAUGUAUGUGUGUUUGUGUGUGUCCUAUUGGUUCUGUGUCAAUGGAGAACCCUGACUAAUACACCAAAGAACUCCAGAAGAUGCACAGAAACAAAGUAUGUUGAAUUCUCAGAGGGAUACCCCAUAAAAAUCUAAGGGAAUACUUCUUGUGAAACAUAUUAGAUACUUCAUUACUACUAACUCUGAAAACAACAGUCUAGGUUUACCUUCGAGAAGGUACUUUUGAAAAUAAAGUUACCAAUGUCUAAAACUAAAGUUAAAAAGUGUAGAUUAGACAAGCUAAGAAUAGGUCUAUAUACCACCCAGAAAAACACAUGCAAGUUUGCCAUAUAGUCAACACUGAAUUUUGAAUUUAUAGAAAUGGGACACAAAAAGUUGGAAGGGCAUUUACCAAUUUGCAGUGAGAAAGAAACCAGAACUCUCUGACCAUGCAGCAAAGAAUGGAGCUGGGAGACAAACAGCCACUUUUCUUAGCUUCUGACAUAAAAUCUUUAAUUUUUUAUAUACCUGGUUAUAGAGAUCUAGGGUCAGUCAAAGGUUACUGACAAAGCAGGGGCCCAGAUUUCCAUUUAAUUACAAAAAAAAGUAGCUGCUUGAUUAAAUUUCAUGUAAUAUUCAGCUAUCCUACAAUACAAAACCCAUAAAAGGAUCAAGUGAAAGAAAAACCAGAGGAUUAUUGUGGUUUUUAAAAACAAUAGUCAGUGAGAACAACCCACCACAGGUGCACUCAAUUGCUGGGCUUUCGUGUGGGAUCACUUUAUUUUGUAAAGUUUUAUGCUCUAAAAUUCAAAUAAGAGAAUGGAAAGAAAAGAUGUAGAGGCAUUUGAGCCCAGGGUCCCAGUGUGUACUCACAGUUUGCUUUGAUAUCAUGGGCAGUGGAAGCUGAUCAGUAUUUGUCUGGCAAUUUUCUCAUCAGCUCAAAAUCACCACAGAAAGUUCUAGAUUUUGUAAGAAACAUUUUUAUGGUCACUUUAAAAAAAUUAACUAACAAGUUUAUACUUCAUGAUAUACCUGCAAAUAAAGUAUAUGCCUGAAAAUAGAUCCACGAUUACAGGGAGAAAGCUCUACUCUCUUUCAGGCUCCCUUCUUUUUUUUUUUUAACUUUUAUUUCAAGUUCAAAGGUAUAUAUAUGUGCAGGUUUGUUAUACAGGUAAACUGUCAUGGAGGUUAGUUGUACAGAUUAUUUGAUCACCCAGAUGUUAGUUUAGUACACAUUAGUUAUUUUUCCUGAUCCUCUUCAUCCCCCCACUGCAAAAUGGAACAUGCAUGUGUAUGUUCAUUGCAACACUAUUUCUAAUAUAAAAGAAAUGGAAUCAACCUAAAUGUCUAUCAGUGGUAGACUGGAUAAAGAAAAUAUGAUAUUGAUGCAUGAUGGAAUACUGUGCAGUCAAAAGAAAAUUAAGGUUAUGUCCUUUGCAGCAACAUGAAUGGAGCUGGAGGCCAUUAUUUUAUGCAAACCAAUGCAGAAACAGAAAACCACUUAUAACUGGGAGCUGAACAAUGAGAACCAUGGAUACUAGGAGGGCAACAACAGACAGUGGGACCUUCUUCAGGGUGG
ensembl:lncRNA